UGCAGGAAGACAGUUGAGCAUCACAAGUUCGGUUAACCUCUGUAUUCCAUUCAGAUAUCACCUUAAGAGCAAAAAGAGGAAAAUGGGGCGGGUUGGGGUGGGGUAUUGGCAUUCAUGUCACCAAAAGAUGGGAAAUGAAGACAAGAAGAAAGCCUCAAACAAGGCAAGCUGUGGUAAAAUGUUGCAGCGGAAGCAUGAAACAGAAUUGCAAAAUAAGGUCUAUUACAGUAUAUGAUUAAAAUAAAUAUAUAGGUAAAAAACAUGAUUAAUAGAAUCUUUGAUUGCUCCUGAUAAUGAUUGAACAUAAUAUUUUCUGAUCUCCAGGCAAUUUUCUAUUGAAUGUUACAUUGUAACAGCAGAACUAGUUGAUAGCAUUGAUAAGUAUCUCUAUGCAUUGAUGGAAGUCAACACUAGCUUGGAAAUGGAAAGGCUGUCAGACAGAAUGUUGACUUUGACGUGAUGCUUAAAACGUCCUGGAAAAAGGUAUACAAUUAAAGUACAUUGUUUAUUAAGUUUUUGCAACAAGCAUACAUUAGAUGCAGAUCCAAACAGGAUAACUGCAAUGUUGGAAAGGCAGAAAAGUAUUGAGAAGCUUGGUUACAGGUGGUAAACUGAACAAUAUAUCCCUUGAGGUUAGACCUAAAAGAGAAUAUGAUUCAGGUUAAUUCACCUAAAUAUGAGUCUAUAACAUCAUAGCAACUGCACAUAUUUUACCAUUUAUAAGCACCAGAAAAGCAAAUGCUUCUGAGACUAGCUAUUUAGAAUUCACAAUAGCGUAAGGUCGAUGCACACAAAUUCAAGCACAGUGAGAGGAGAGAAAUCCAGAGCAACACACACCUUUCUACUACGGAGACUGCAUCUUGGACCCUCAACUACGAUUUCACUGCCUUCUUG
rnacentral:misc_RNA from 1 species